UGGGGAAUAUUGCACAAUGGGCGCAAGCCUGAUGCAGCCAUGCCGCGUGUAUGAAGAAGGCCUUCGGGUUGUAAAGUACUUUCAGAGGGGAGGAAGGCGAUGUGGUUAAUAACCGCGUCGAUUGACGUUACCCGCAGAAGAAGCACCGGCUAACUCCGUGCCAGCAGCCGCGGUAAUACGGAGGGUGCAAGAGUUAAUCGGAAUUACUGGGCGUAAAGCGCACGCAGGCGGUCUGUCAAGUCGGAUGUGAAAUCCCCGGGCUCAACCUGGGAACUGCAUCCGAAACUGGCAGGCUUGAGUCUCGUAGAGGGGGGUAGAAUUCCAGGUGUAGCGGUGAAAUGCGUAGAGAUCUGGAGGAAUACCGGUGGCGAAGGCGGCCCCCUGGACGAAGACUGACGCUCAGGUGCGAAAGCGUGGGGAGCAAACA
rnacentral:rRNA from 1 species